ensembl:miRNA
UGUAACAGCAACUCCAUGUGGAAGCUGUGUCUGUUCCAGUGGAGGUGCUGUUACUUG